rnacentral:lncRNA from 1 species
AUGGCAAAGAAAGGUUUAAAAAGUUGUUUAAAAAUGGCAGCCUUUCGUUCAUGUUCCCUUCCUACUUUUAUGUCGCCACCUUCGACGGACCACCGGCGGUGUAGCCGAAAGAACCAUCGCGUCUUUACCUCUUUGUUCUCCGCCCACGCCCGGCCUCCCCAUCCUCCUCCUGGCGCCUGCGCAUGCGUCCCAAAUCCCAUACGGGCGGGCUCCCCCCGCGGCCAACCAGACCGAGCGAAGCGGGCGAGAGGCGCCUUNNNNNNNNNNNNNNNNNNNNNNNNNNNNNNNNNNNNNNNNNNNNNNNNNNNNNNNNNNNNNNNNNNNNNNNNNNNNNNNNACGCCGGCGGCGUGACGUCAGCCCCAUCGGGCGCCGCCGGAGCCUACGCCGACGGCGCAAAGGCGUUGCUCCGGCUGCCCGGGCAAGAGCGAGCGCCAGGAAAGGGGUUUAAAGAGACAACGGCCGAUGGAGACGCGGCUGGGGGGCCCGGCUGGGGGGCCCGACCUCUGAACCAGCGAGGCCCGGGGGGCUGGAAAGGACCCAGCUCCUCCUGCCUGACCCGAUCCACAACGGCUUUUGAUUUUCGUUGGUUCAUCCGCUGCCGUUGAGUCUUCUCCCUCCCACGAAGAGGCCAAUGUUGAGCGCUGUGUCGGUGGAAUGAUGACGAGAUACGGGAGCGUGACCCAGUGAGUAGCGCUCAGGUACCUCACCGAAUCCUCAGCAAAGGAAUGUUUCCUCAAAAGUUGAAAUGGCCGGUUCGUCUUGCCAAGUUCAAACGGAGCAGGCCGGAGGGCAGCCCUCCUGAGGGGUCCGAACGGCGGAGCCCCAUUGUUCCUUAGCCCGUGCCUGGCUUUAGCUCUUUGGAGGCCAUCGCCUCUUGAAAUUUUGCAGAGGGAAAGAUGCUUCAUGAGGGAGGGAGGCCGGGAUGCUUUCCCCUCGUUCCACGGGGCUGUUCCGUGAGCUUCUCUGAAGAUGCCUUUGCCGCACCAGCUGACUAGGGUAUAACCCAUAUGGAUGGAUCGUGGAGAGCCGGCAGGGGAACUCUCUGCCACAAGAUGCUGUCGGGGCUCCCAAGCCUAAAACAGAGUAGGAUAGAUCCAUGGAGGUUAAAGCCAUCCGUGCCUCGCCUGUUGAUAAUGUCUUGGGCCUCCUCACAUCCAGUUUUUGGGACCCUUUCUCAGCCACCGAGGAGCCUGAAACGGAGGCAGGAGUUGUGUGCAUGUCUUGCCUGCGGGAUUUCUAGAAGCAACAACCUGGCUGGUCUAUGAGCGGAAGGCUGGACCCGGAAGGCCCUCUUGUUUUGGUCUCCUCCAACCUCUCUCUGGAUUUUCUUAAGGCCCCCUCUGCGCUGCAACUUUUGCGCUGCAGCUUGGGUUUUCUUAUUGUCUCCCUUGGUCCAGAGUUCCCCUUAACGCCUGCUGCUUCUCCUCGGGAUCCGUGGGGGCCUCCCCGGCAAGCUGGAGGCGUGUGAUUAUCGCUCAGCGACAGCAGGCAGGGUGGAGGAAGUGUUGGCACUACCCGGCCGGCCGUCUUCUUGGCUGUCCGGUUUGCUUGGCACGGCGCUUUGGCCGAAGCAGGCUCUUUCUUUUCUCUGCCCCCCCCCGGGGGGGGCUGGUUGCAACGCCAGGGCUGGAUGGAAGUCUGAUGGCUACCCGCAGCCACGUCCGGGAGCAGGACGGGCCCUGUUCAUUCCGGUUCCAGCACCCGCAUGCAAUUCAGGGGCAAAAAUCUUUUUCCUCCUCUCCUGUUUUCACCCAAACCGGCAUCUCCUCUUUUCGCUUCGGCAGGGCUGAGCGGCAGGAUGGGAACAGACUGUCUUUGAGUGUUCCUGGUAAAGUCAUCUUUCCCUUCUGGUGCCCCGGAUUUGUGGAACGAACCCAGAAUGGUGCCGGAAUGGUCCAGCGCAGACGAGACAAUCUAGGGCAGGAUCCGGCAUGCUAUUUAAACCAAUGGGAACACGAGGACAUCACUCAAGAGUGGCACUCAAGUGCGUGCCCCUCUCCCGUUUCAUUCUGGGGCCGCCACGUCAAAGGCCCUGUUCUGAACAACAGUGCUGCGGGACUUUGUCGACGUGGCCGCCUCUUGGAUCGGUGGCCUCGUGAUCCAAAUGGAGAGAAGCGCAUGGGGUCCCGGGACUCGGACUCCAUGUUAUGCUGGGAAGCUUGAUGUGGCGGGAGGACCCAGAAGGCUCCCUGCCCUCUGGGAAACGUAUGAUUUACUUAUUUAAAGCAUUUUAUCACGCCUUUCUUCUUAAAAAGAGCCCAAGGCAGCUUACAUCAUUAAAAAUGACACUGUUUAACAGCUAAAAACAGGAAGUGUACGGGCAUUUAGAAAGAAUGAAACAAGUUUAUAUUAAAAACGGUAAAUAAAAUCAGUACUGAAACACA